rnacentral:rRNA from 2 species
GCGAGAAACCUUUGCAAUGUGCGCAAGCACGACAAGGUUAAUCCGAGUGUUUCCUGCUAAAGGAAUCUUUUGUUAGUCCUAAAAACACUAGCGAAUAAGGGGUGGGCAAGUUCUGGUGUCAGCCGCCGCGGUAAAACCAGCACCUCAAGUGGUCAGGAUGAUUAUUGGGCCUAAAGCAUCCGUAGCCGGCUCUGUUAGUUUUCGGUUAAAUCUGUUCGCUCAACGAACAGGCUGCCGGGAAUACUGCAGAGCUAGGGAGUGGGAGAGGUAGACGGUACUCGGUAGGAAGGGGGUAAAAACCUUUCGUAGUCUAUU